UACGUAGGGCGCAAGCGUUGUCCGGAAUUAUUGGGCGUAAAGAGCUCGUAGGCGGUCUGUUACGUCCGCUGUGAAAACCCAGGGCUUAACCUUGGGCUUGCAGUGGAUACGGGUAGACUAGAGGCAGGUAGGGGAGAAUGGAAUUCCCGGUGUAGCGGUGAAAUGCGCAGAUAUCGGGAGGAACACCGGUGGCGAAGGCGGUUCUCUGGGCCUGACCUGACGCUGAGGAGCGAAAGCGUGGGGAGCGAACAGG
rnacentral:rRNA from 1 species